CUUGACCGACCCCAGGUAGAGCGGCUGCGCCCCGUCCCGGUGCCGCCCGUAGGUGUUCAGCAGCGCCUGCGCCUC
rnacentral:antisense_RNA from 1 species